GAGCAGGAACUGAUUGAGCGA
rnacentral:misc_RNA from 1 species